AAGGCAAAAAGGAAAACUAAUAUAUAUACAAUGUGUCAACUCAGCACAUAACAACUGCAUGUCAUAAUAGCUCAUAACUAUAUGUUUAGACAUUUACAAUAUGAUUAACAAUGGUCCACAUCAUCUCUUGGAGGGCAGUUAGACAUGUGCUAUAAGAUGUACAGUAUGGAUAAGGAGGGAAAAAAGAGGAAAAAUAGAGAAAGACCUUGAUAGCAAACAAGAAUGGGCAGGCAUCCUAGUCAAGCAACAUAGUUACUAUAAUGACCUAUGUUGCUCGAGCUCUCCGAAAACGUUGAUGGGUGUGUGUCGGAUCCUCCAAAAGCAGUGCUUUUUUGGAGGAUCCGACACAGGUGUGACAGCUGUUUUGAAGAGUUUGUGCAACAUAGAUCAUGACCACAAGGGCUCCCACAGUUUUUGUGGUUCUUCCAUGUCCAUAGUCAUCUGCAUGCACACCACUUCAGCUUGAGCAACUGCCAGUUGCAUUUGGAGAAGGCU
rnacentral:lncRNA from 1 species